GAGCACGUAGGUGGGUUUGUAAGUCAGAUGUGAAAGCCUUCUGUUCAACGGAAGAAUUGCAUCUGAAACUGCGAGUCUUGAGUGUAGGAGGGGAGAAUGGAACUUCUGGUGGAGCGGUGAAAUGCGUAGAUAUCAGAAGGAACGCCGGCGGCGAAAGCGAUUCUCUGGCCUAUUACUGACACUCAGUGUGCGAAAGCUAGGGGAGCAAACGGGAUUAGAUAUCCCGGUAGUCCUAGCCGUAAACGAUGGGCGCUAAGUAGAGGGAAUUACCGAUAUUCUCUCUGCCGUAGCUAACGCAUUAAGUGCCCCGCCUGGGGAGUACGGCCGCAAGGCUAAAACUCAAAAGAAUUGACGGGGGCUCGCACAAGCGGUGGAGCAUGUGGCUUAAUUCGAUGCAACGCGAAAAACCUUACCGGGGCUUGACAUGAUAGAAGUAGGAACCCGAAAGGGUAACGAACGGUAUCCAGUCCGUAGCUAUUACAGGUGUUGCAUGGCUGUCGUCAGCUCGUGUCGUGAGACGUUGGGUUAAGUCCCCUAACGAGCGAAACCCUUGUUUUUAGUUGCCAGCGGGUUGUGCCGGGCACUCUAGAAAGACUGCCGUCGUCAAGACGGAGGAAGGUGGGGACGACGUCAAGUCAUCAUGGCCCUUAUGCCCCGGGCUGCACACGUGCUACAAUGGUCGGUACAAACGGAAGCGAAGCCGAGAGGUGAAGCGAAUCC
rnacentral:rRNA from 1 species